UUUUUUUUUAGUCCGAAUGCCUUUUGAUUAUGUGUACCGGCUACAACACGAGUGAAGAUGUUUUUGAAUUUUUUAGUAAAAUACAUAAGAAGUCCAUUAAGUUGUAAGCAUAUGUCACUUAGAUUCAUGAAUUUCGAAAGUGCAUUUUUGGACUCAUAAACUUGCUAAGUCAUUCACUGCAAGUCCAUACCCCACCACAUGGGCAUUUAGCCUUGACAUGGCACGGUGACUGGGCAUCUUCUCUCUCAUCCCUCUCAUCUUCCUCUCUCUCCCUCCCUCUCGCUCUAGCAUUUCAUCGAACAUGUCACGGUGGUGGCGGUACGGAGCUCUUCAUCUGCUUCACCUCCCGCUUCUCCGUCGCCGGCGCUUCGUCCUCCCUCCAACACCAUCAUCUCCUCAGCUGGCACAAUAACGGCUCCCUUGCUAACCUCACCACGGCAGCACCGCACAACCAGUUGCCCCAGCCAAUGGCAGCACCACACAGCCAGUUGCCACAGCCGACGCACGCUGGCACCUCUUUUUUAUAGAUCUAAAAAUGCACUUUUCGAAGUUCGUUGAUCUAAGUAAGAUAUCCUUAUAAGUUGAUGGACCUUCUAUCUAGAAGAGUAAAUGUGAUGAUUGCUAUCUGGUAAUGAUGCUUUUGUUCUCUAGAGCUUUGGAAUUACUCACGGGCGCUGCUAGCACUGCCUCUCUGCAAAGGCGCUUUGGAUGAGGCCUAGGAUAGGCUCGAGUUGAUUCGAUCGAUUUCUUCUCACGUCGAAAGGAAAAAUAGAUUUCUCCUGCACCCCACUUGUGUGUAUAUAUGGUCAAGGAGUCCUACCUUGUUUGGGGUUCGUCAGCAGAAAUCCUAACAGCAAAAGCAUCAUCUAGUUGACCAGGAGCCCAAGAUCUUGGUCCAAGCUGAAUCAACGAAGGCAUGGAUCGAUAUAGCUCCAGAACAGAAACCGAAACGACGGCGACAAGUGGUGUUCAGGGAAGAGGGGAGCAGGGACAGGUUGCUUUCGCGCAGAGCAACGCUGGCCGGUGCGGGACGAGUACGGGUGCAGAUGGAAUCUAUUAAAGACCCCCGAUGGGAGCACAACCACCAUCACCCAUGGCGAUCGAUGACGACGAUGCCGAUCUAUCCGACACCGAAUCCAACCCGCCACUUGAAUGCGCGUCCCAUCCCCGCGUUCAGUGCUCUCCCUCUUCCUCCUCUCGACCACGCACAGCAGCUACGGAGCCUGCUCCUCCAUGGCUCCUGUUUCACCUCGCAUUUGCCGCUCGGUCGGCUCCCGUUGAGUUAAAACCUAAUUAACCUAGCCGGUCGAUCCAUUCAAAGCUACGGGCAGUACACGUACGAGUGCUAGCUCGACGCAGUAAUGCAAUGGUAGUUGGCCGGGGAUCGAUCUCCAUAGCGCCGUAGACAUCAGGAACACACAGCAGAGGAAGAACAGGGCCUGAAUGCCUGACGAGAAACAGCACCGUACACAUACACGGGUUCCAUGGAUCGAUGUGGUAGUAUAGUACUUUUCAAGUUUUAUAACAGCAGGGAAUUAAUUAAAAACAACACGCGUGGAUUAUUGAGAACGAAAUUGAACAGAUGGUGGUGGUCGGAGUAUCGAGCUCUCUCUCGUGUCUCGUGCCUCGAUUCCUCCUCGUGUUCUUGAUGGGCGGAAACAGAUGUAUCUUCUCCUCAUCCUCUUCCUCAGACGUGGUGGUAGCUGUGUGUGUGAAACUGCGAAUGGUGGACGGACGGUAGCAGUAAAUGGCCAUGGUGGGCGGCCGCCACGGCGGACGGACGGAUAGGGUUCAGUUCUUGGCGGCCACCGCCUCGGCGUGCUUGUGCGGCACCUCCGUGCUCAUCUCCUUGAGCUUCUCCUCCACCUUGUCAACGGCGGCGGCG
rnacentral:lncRNA from 1 species